AUUGAACGCUGGCGGCAGGCCUAACACAUGCAAGUCGAACGAGUGGCGGACGGGUGAGUAAUGUCUGGGAAACUGCCUUAUGGAGGGGGAUAACUACUGGACACGGUAGCUAAUACCGCAUACCAUCGGAUGUGCCCAGAUGGGAUUAGCUAGUUGGUGGGGUAAAGGCUCACCUAGGCGACGAUCCCUAGCUGGUCUGAGAGGAUGACCAGCAACACUGGAACUGAGACACGGUCCAGACUCCUACGGGAGGCAGCAGUGGGGAAUAUUGCGCAAUGGGCGCAAGCCUGAGGCAGCCAUGCCGCGUGUAUGAAGAAGGCCUGCGGGUUGUAAAGUUCUUUCAGCAGGGAGGCGUUACCCACAGAAGAAGCACCGGCUAACUCCGUGCCAGCCGCCGCGGUAAUAC
rnacentral:rRNA from 1 species